GUCGAGCGGACAGAAGGGAGCUUGCUCCCGGAUGUUAGCGGCGGACGGGUGAGUAACACGUGGGUAACCUGCCUGUAAGACUGGGAUAACUCCGGGAAACCGGAGCUAAUACCGGAUAGUUCCUUGAACCGCAUGGUUCAAGGAUGAAAGACGGUUUCGGCUGUCACUUACAGAUGGACCCGCGGCGCAUUAGCUAGUUGGUGAGGUAACGGCUCACCAAGGCGACGAUGCGUAGCCGACCUGAGAGGGUGAUCGGCCACACUGGGACUGAGACACGGCCCAGACUCCUACGGGAGGCAGCAGUAGGGAAUCUUCCGCAAUGGACGAAAGUCUGACGGAGCAACGCCGCGUGAGUGAUGAAGGUUUUCGGAUCGUAAAGCUCUGUUGUUAGGGAAGAACAAGUGCAAGAGUAACUGCUUGCACCUUGACGGUACCUAACCAGAAAGCCACGGCUAACUACGUGCCAGCAGCCGCGGUAAUACGUAGGUGGCAAGCGUUGUCCGGAAUUAUUGGGCGUAAAGGGCUCGCAGGCGGUUUCUUAAGUCUGAUGUGAAAGCCCCCGGCUCAACCGGGGAGGGUCAUUGGAAACUGGGAAACUUGAGUGCAGAAGAGGAGAGUGGAAUUCCACGUGUAGCGGUGAAAUGCGUAGAGAUGUGGAGGAACACCAGUGGCGAAGGCGACUCUCUGGUCUGUAACUGACGCUGAGGAGCGAAAGCGUGGGAGCGAACAGGAUUAGA
rnacentral:rRNA from 1 species